GUUUUUGCAAGAUUUGCAAACUGAAAUGGAGUGAAGCCUCGGAAAGAGGCCAGACAAAGAAAAUGGGUCGUUACUAAUCCACUCGAAGUCUAAGGCGGAGACACACACCCACACACACCCACACAGACCCCGCAAAACUGGAAAGAUGUAAACUGAGAAUAUUUUCCUGGCAGCACAAGAAGAGGAUAAGAGAAGGGAAAACGGUGGCACUUGGAGAAAAGAGUUUUGAGCUUCUCUUGGCAGCAGAAACCCCCUGCCCUCCGUCAGGGAAGCACCGAGGAGCCGAAGCGGAGUCAUCAAGGGCCAAAAGAGCUGUGAGUUUUUCCCUGUGACUGGGCACCCAAAGUGCAAAGAUACCUAUAUGGAAGAUUUGCUGUGACCCAUAUGGAAGAUAAUAUACUGCUGAGCUGAAGAUCAGGAGCUCCUGGUCAACUCCCACCAGUUUAAACACUGGACAAAACAUUCUAUGCGCAGAUUAAAACCUACAUGACAACAACUCACGUGCCAAGUGAACUACAGGACUUCAGCCCAGAAUUUCUGCUCAGAGGAUGAAAAAUGAAGUUUGAAAGAAUGUUCAUUACCUUCACGGCAUGUGUUGACUGCACUGAUUCUUCAUCUGCCAAACUGCAAAUGCUGGCUUCUGGCUCAUCUGGAGACCUCUGGAACUAAAAGUAAUUGAUCAAAUUAAUUCUAAUAUAAUCCCACACAGACCUUGCUACCACUGCAGCUUGUUAACCUUAUAUGCAAACUGUUUAU